rnacentral:rRNA from 1 species
UGGGGAAUAUUGCACAAUGGGGGAAACCCUGAUGCAGCCACGCCGCGUGUGUGAAGAAGGCCUUCGGGUUGUAAAGCACUUUCAGCGAGGAGGAAAGGUUGAUGCCUAAUACGUAUCAACUGUGACGUUACUCGCAGAAGAAGCACCGGCUAACUCCGUGCCAGCAGCCGCGGUAAUACGGAGGGUGCAAGCGUUAAUCGGAAUUACUGGGCGUAAAGCGCACGCAGGCGGUUGGAUAAGUUAGAUGUGAAAGCCCCGGGCUCAACCUGGGAAUUGCAUUUAAAACUGUCCAGCUAGAGUCUUGUAGAGGGGGGUAGAAUUCCAGGUGUAGCGGUGAAAUGCGUAGAGAUCUGGAGGAAUACCGGUGGCGAAGGCGGCCCCCUGGACAAAGACUGACGCUCAGGUGCGAAAGCGUGGGGAGCAAACA